rnacentral:rRNA from 1 species
GACGAACGCUGGCGGCGUGCUUAACACAUGCAAGUCGUACGGUAAGGCCCUUUCGGGGGUACACGAGUGGCGAACGGGUGAGUAACACGUGAGUAACCUGCCCACAACUUUGGGAUAACGCUAGGAAACUGGUGCUAAUACUGGAUAUGUGCUCCUGCCGCAUGGUGGGGGUUGGAAAGCUCCGGGGGUUGUGGAUGGACUCGCGGCCUAUCAGCUUGUUGGUGGGGUAGUGGCCUACCAAGGCGGCGACGGGUAGCCGGCCUGAGAGGGUGACCGGCCACAUUGGGACUGGGAUACGGCCCAGACUCCUACGGGAGGCAGCAGUGGGGAAUAUUGCACAAUGGGCGCGAGCCUGAUGCAGCAACGCCGCGUGCGGGAUGACGGCCUUCGGGUUGUAAACCGCUUUCAGCAGGGACGAAGCUUUUUGUGACGGUACCUGCAGAAGAAGCACCGGCUAACUACGUG